AUGAAGGGGUACUGGGCAACCCAAAAUUACUCCUAUUCGAGGAGGUCUCGGUCUUGGAGUUGGCACAAGGCUCACAAGGGACGCAGAUGCGGAGAGUCAGCAAAACAUGGGGGUGGUAACGGCAGCAGCAAGCAUGGAAAGGCUCGAGCGCCAACGACGCCAGCAAAGCAAAGGAGCAUCAGGGUUCAUGUCAUAGCAGAGGCAAGAGCGGGGCACGAGGAGCAAGGCAAGCAGCAACACAAGACGCGGACAGAGGUGCUGGCAAGCACUUAUGGUGGUGGAGCAGGGGCUCCACGCGAACAGGGUCGCGGUGGAGGUCGCCGUCGGGCGCGCAAGCAUGCCGAGCAGGGCGCCCUCAGGUCGUGCAGAAGAGGGGGCCAGAGCAAGGGAAGGAGGGCGACGCAGAGGUGA
rnacentral:rRNA from 1 species